AAUGAACGCUGGCGGCAGGCCUAACACAUGCAAGUCGAGCGGAGCGGCGGACGGGUGAGUAAUGCCUAGGAAUCCGCCUGGGAGUGGGGGAUAAAGUCAGGAAACGGGCGAUAUGACCGCAUAAGAUCAGAUGAGCCUAGGUCGGAUUAGCUAGUUGGUGGUGUAAAGGCCUACCAAGUCGACGAUCCGUAACUGGUCUGAGAGGAUGAUCAGUCACCCUGGAACUGAGACACGGUCCAGACUCCUACGGGAGGCAGCAGUGGGGAAUAUUCGACAAUGGGCGAAAUCCUGAUCCAGCCAUGCCGCGUGUGUGAAGAAGGUCUUCGGAUUGUAAAGCACUUUAAUUUGGGAUGCGUUACCAACAUAAUAAGCACCGGCUAACUUCGUGCCAGCAGCCGCGGUAAUAC
rnacentral:rRNA from 1 species